AGGCUUUUGCAUAGCCAAUGAAGCAGAAGUAGAUGUCUUUCUGGAACUCUCUAGCUUUCUCCAUAAUCCAGCGCAUGUUUGCAAUUUGGUCUCUGGUUCCUCUGCCUCUUCUAAAUCCAGCUUGCACUUCUGGGAGUUCUCGGUCCACAUACUGCUUAAGCCUUCCUUGUAGAAUUUUAAGCAUAACCUUGCUAGCAUGUGAAAUGAGUGCAAUUGUGCGAUAGUUGGAGCAUUCUUUGGCACUGCCCUUCUUUGGGAUUGGGAUGUAGACUGAUCUUCUCCAAUCCUCUGGCCACUGCUGAGUUUUCCAAAUUUGCUGGCAUAUUGAGUGUAGCACCUUAACAGCAUCAUCUUUUAAAAUUUUAAAUAGUUCAGCUGGAAUAUCAUCACUUCCACUGGCCUUGUUAUUAGCAGAGUCCAAUUCUGAGUUUGUGCAGAUCUAUCUUUCAAUCCAAGUUCAGUUCUCCAUGAGUUACCCUCUCUUGAAGGUCAGUUGCAUGCAGGGCUCAGUUCUGACACCUCUCAGGUGGACACCAUUAUAAGAGUCUGUUCUGGCACCCUUUUUUCUGGAAAAAGAGCAUUGGUGCCAUGUUUGUUUUGAUGAUGAUACAUUCAAUAAAUGUAAACCAAACAUGUUGAAAUUUGACUGUGUCUGUUCCUUUUCUUUGUGCUUUAACUUUGCAAGUGAAGAUUUAUACUAAUGCAUUUUGCCAUAUUUCCUGGUACAAGUGCUGAGAUAGGAAGCUUUCCAAUAUUACUAGCAGAGUUUAUGAGGAGUAAGGAUUCUUCUGAGGGAUAUGCUUUGAAGGUAAUGUAUGUACCCAACCUAAAUAAAAAAUAAAAUGUAAAAUCAUUUGAAAAAAUAGGUGGUAUAACAAAUGCUGAUUGGAUAUGAUGAGGAGCCAAUCAAGAAAUGAUAUAGACUAAAUGGGAGGAGUUCUGGAGUACCUGACGUCACAAGGGAGGUGGUUCUUAGCCAGUGGGAAGGUGAAAUAACCUUAUGAAGAAAGUAGAGAAAAGAUUGUUCCAUGACGACAACAACAAGUUAUCAAAACAGAAAGAGGCGAGGUCCAACUGAUGGUCUCCAAAGUCUUGCUAGACUCAAAUGGCGUUAUAUGCAUCCAACUGAGAUGGGAUCUAGUACUCCAUCUUUUCUGAUGAUCAGGAGACACAUCUGAGAGGAUGGUGAAGCCAACGCCCACAAAGCUUUCAGCGUCCAGAAAGCGUAAAGCAAAAGCAAAUGAAAAUGGUGCAUCUGCUUUUCAGGACUUGCUUACUUUCUUCAAAUCUCCAGUGGGUGAAAGAUUGAUCGUUCUUGAGAUUUUCAUCUUUACUGUCAUGACACUGCUGGUUUUCAUUCUGUGUAAGUACACAAUUGGCGGAC